GGCCUACCAUGGUGGUAACGGGUAACGGGGUGCUAGGGCACGACACCGGAGAGGGAGCCUGAGAAACGGCUACCACAUCCAAGGAUGGCAGCAGGCGCGCAAAUUACCCAAUCCCGACAAGGGGAGGUAGUGACAAUAAAUAACAAUACGGGGUUCUUUUGGAUCUCGUAAUUGGAAUGAGUACAAUUUAAAUCUCUUAACGAGGAACAAUUGGAGGGCAAGUCUGGUGCCAGCAGCCGCGGUAAUUCCAGCUCCAAUAGCGUAUAUUAAAGUUGUUGCAGUUAAAAAGCUCGUAGUUGAAUUUCGGGAUCAGUAGGUUGGUCGUGCCACUGGUAUGCACUGGCCUUACUGAUUCCUCCUUCUUGUAGAACCGUAAUGCCAUUAAGUUGGUGUUGCGGGGAAACAGGACUGUUACUUUGAAAAAAUUAGAGUGUUUAAGCAGGCUAACGCUUGAAUACAUUAGCAUGGAAUAAUGAAAUAGGACGUUCGAUCCUAUUUUGUUGGUUUCUAGGAUUGACGUAAUGAUUAAUAGGGAUAGUUGGGGGCAUUAGUAUUCAAUUGUCAGAGGUGAAAUUCUUGGAUUUAUUGAAGACUAACUACUGCGAAAGCAUUUGCCAAGGAUGUUUUCAUUAAUCAAGAACGAAAGUUAGGGGAUCGAAGACGAUCAGAUACCGUCGUAGUCUUAACCAUAAACUAUGCCGACUAGGGAUCGGAUGAUGUUAAUUUUUUAAUGACUCAUUCGGCGCCUUACGGGAAACCAAAGUGUUUGGGUUC
rnacentral:rRNA from 1 species